rnacentral:rRNA from 1 species
GCAAGUCGAGCGAAUGGAUUAAGAGCUUGCUCUUAUGAAGUUAGCGGCGGACGGGUGAGUAACACGUGGGUAACCUACCCAUAAGACUGGGAUAACUCCGGGAAACCGGGGCUAAUACCGGAUAAUAUUUUGAACUGCAUAGUUCGAAAUUGAAAGGCGGCUUCGGCUGUCACUUAUGGAUGGACCCGCGUCGCAUUAGCUAGUUGGUGAGGUAACGGCUCACCAAGGCGACGAUGCGUAGCCGACCUGAGAGGGUGAUCGGCCACACUGGGACUGAGACACGGCCCAGACUCCUACGGGAGGCAGCAGUAGGGAAUCUUCCGCAAUGGACGAAAGUCUGACGGAGCAACGCCGCGUGAGUGAUGAAGGCUUUCGGGUCGUAAAACUCUGUUGUUAGGGAAGAACAAGUGCUAGUUGAAUAAGCUGGCACCUUGACGGUACCUAACCAGAAAGCCACGGCUAACUACGUGCCAGCAGCCGCGGUAAUACGUAGGUGGCAAGCGUUAUCCGGAAUUAUUGGGCGUAAAGCGCGCGCAGGUGGUUUCUUAAGUCUGAUGUGAAAGCCCACGGCUCAACCGUGGAGGGUCAUUGGAAACUGGGAGACUUGAGUGCAGAAGAGAAAGUGGAAUUCCAUGUGUAGCGGUGAAAUGCGUAG